rnacentral:rRNA from 1 species
AGCGAACGCUGGCGGCAGGCUUAACACAUGCAAGUCGAGCGCCCCGCAAGGGGAGCGGCAGACGGGAGAGUAACACGUGGGAACAUACCUUUUGGUUCGGAACAACUGAGGGAAACUUCAGCUAAUACCGGAUAAGCCCUUACGGGGAAAGAUUUAUCGCCGAAAGAUUGGCCCGCGUCUGAUUAGCUAGUUGGUGAGGUAACGGCUCACCAAGGCGACGAUCAGUAGCUGGUCUGAGAGGAUGAUCAGCCUCACUGGGACUGAGACACGGCCCAGACUCCUACGGGAGGCAGCAGUGGGGAAUAUUGGACAAUGGGCGCAAGCCUGAUCCAGCCAUGCCGCGUGAGUGAUGAAGGCCUUAGGGUUGUAAAGCUCUUUUAACGGGGAAGAUAAUGACGGUACCCGUAGAAUAAGCCCCGGCUAACUUCGUGCCAGCCGCCGCGGUAAUAC